GGUAAGUAAAUUACCAAUUUUUUUUUUGUAAUAACAGUGUCAUAUUGGGCCAAACAAUCGGCACAUACACAUGGGCUACCCAACUUUAUAACUUUCCUUAGUUAAAUAUAAAUGCUUUUUAUUCAUGCACUUUCUGCAGUAUGUUGUGUUUGAGGUAUCAUGAUACAUUUGUUACUUCCUUCCAUCCCUUAGGGAGCAGCACGUCUUUGGACACCAUCAAAACCCCAGACAUGUCUGAUUUCAAAUCUGCAGCUGUGACUUAUCAAACCUCUGGAGAAAUUUCAGAAAACCAAGAGGUUGAAAUUGGUGAAGGUCUGGUGAUAAGCAUGGAAAAAUGGAAAAAAAUUCAAUUAAACAUGAAAGACAGCCUGUUUGUCAAGGAGUUGGCAGUCUGCAUUUGGGGGUCGAGCACAUUGGCCAACCGAAGCCUUGAGGGAAAAAGUUGCCCCACCACCAAAUCCACUCCUAGGCCCCCUUUAACACCCCACAAAUACA